AAUCAACGCUGGCGGCGUGCCUAACACAUGCAAGUCGAACGCGAAAGCCCCUUCGGGGGGUAAGUAGAGUGGCGUCCGGGUGAGUAACACGUAGGUAAUCUACCUUCGGGUGGGGAAUAACCAGUCGAAAGAUUGGCUAAUACCGCAUAAUGCAGCGGCACCUAAUGGUGAUUAGUUGUUAAAGCGGGGGAUCGUAAGACCUCGCGCCUGAAGAGGAGCCUGCGGCAGAUUAGCUAGUUGGGAGGUAAUGGCUCACCAAGGCUUCGAUCCUGUAGCUGGUCUGGAGAGGACGGCCA
rnacentral:rRNA from 1 species